AGACCGAUAGCGAACAAGUAGAGUGAUCGAAAGAUGAAAAGCACUUUGGAAAGAGAGUUAAACAGUACGUGAAAUUGUUGAAAGGGAAGCGCUUGCAAUCAGACUUGCACUUGGUGUUCAUCAGGGUCUCGUACCCUGUGUACUUCAUCAAGUUCAGGCCAGCAUCAGUUUGAGUGGUUAGAUAAAGGCUUAGAGAAUGUGGCCCUCUUCGGGGGGUGUUAUAGCUCUAGGUGCAAUGUAGCCUACUUGGACUGAGGACCGCGCUUCGGCUAGGAUGCUGGCGUAAUGGUUGUAAGCGACCCGUCUUGAAACACGGACCAAG
rnacentral:rRNA from 1 species